rnacentral:rRNA from 1 species
CGUAAGGCGCCGAAUGAGUCAUUAAAAAAUUAACAUCAUCCGAUCCCUAGUCGGCGUAGUUUAUGGUUAAGACUACGACGGUAUCUGAUCGUCUUCGAUCCCCUAACUUUCGUUCUUGAUUAAUGAAAACAUCCUUGGCAAAUGCUUUCGCAGUAGUUAGUCUUCAAUAAAUCCAAGAAUUUCACCUCUGACAAUUGAAUACUAAUGCCCCCAACUAUCCCUAUUAAUCAUUACGUCGAUCCUGGAAACCAACAAAAUUAGAAUCAAACGUCCUAUUUCAUUAUUCCAUGCUAAUGUAUUCAAGCGUGAGCCUGCUUUAAACACUCUAA